rnacentral:rRNA from 1 species
UUAAAUUGAAGAGUUUGAUCAUGGCUCAGAUUGAACGCUGGCGGCAGGCCUAACACAUGCAAGUCGAACGGUAACAGGAAACAGCUUGCUGUUUCGCUGACGAGUGGCGGACGGGUGAGUAAUGUCUGGGAAACUGCCUGAUGGAGGGGGAUAACUACUGGAAACGGUAGCUAAUACCGCAUAACGUCGCAAGACCAAAGAGGGGGACCCUCGGGCCUCUUGCCAUCGGAUGUGCCCAGAUGGGAUUAGCUUGUUGGUGGGGUAACGGCUCACCAAGGCGACGAUCCCUAGCUGGUCUGAGAGGAUGACCAGCCACACUGGAACUGAGACACGGUCC